ensembl:lncRNA
AUGAAAAGGAGGCAUGCCUACAGGAGCUGUGCGCGUGCAGGUGCUGGCUGCAGGGUUCAGCAAGGACCUCCUUCUCUUUCCUCAGCUGCGAGGGCAGUGUCUUGGGGACCGGUAGUCCAUGACUGGCUGAGGAGACUGCCCUGGGCCACCUGCCACCAUCACUGUGGUUCCCUGUCAGCACCCUGUUGUUCUCAGGUCAGUGGCCUAGGUUUCAGGCCCAGCUCAUGCUGGCUGGCUUUGGACUAUUCUUCCUCCAGACCUCAGUUUCCCCAGGUGUGGAAUGCAUCUGCCUGUGUGUGUUCUCAGGAUGGAGAUGCCUUGGUCUUCUCUGGGAACCCGGCUUGGCUGGCUCUCCAGCCCCCACUGCCCUCCUCAGAGUCUGGUCCCUGCCAUCUGAGCCUGGGUCUACUUGGCUGGAGAGGUUUCAAUUCCAUGGCUGUGGGGUGAAGUGGGUGGCCCAGCAUCAGGGCCCCCAGCGGUCAGGCCUCGUUGGCAACGGCACAAUUCAGCACCCUUCUCCAGUGCUUGUGAUGUGAUCUCUUCCAGGAGGCCUCAGACGGGAACCCGCAAGCCCCCCGGGGUGGGUGAGCCGUCGAGACGCCGUCUAUAUGUGGUUUAGACGGACAGACCCCCAGGAGUCAGGACCGCUUGGUGGCCUGAGGCUUGAGCAGCUACUCCCUGUGUCACCUCAGCUUUCCUGACUCAAACAUUGGGAUAAUAAAAGCACCUCCCCCAGGAGCAGUAAGAUGUCCUACGCCUCUAGACGCCAGCGUCUGGGUCAGGGCCCAGCUUCUUCCUUAUUGGUAGCAGGGCCUUUUGUAUUUGGGCUGAAAUUUCACAAAAUCUAUCAUUCUUACCCCAGCUUGGUUUGACCCGGAGUGGGCAGUGUGGUGGGGUGCAGAGAGUACAGCUCUCAGGACAAAGCUGACCGCACCCCCAGGCUGGGAGUUUGCUCUGCCCACGUGAGGAUCCCCAGGUACUAUACACUAGACCCUGUGGCGGGUGCACAAGAAAUAGUCACCCAGUGUUUGAACCAAUGCCUAUAUGCUGCUGGUGCCCAAAACAAAUGGGUACAAACCAGAAACCAAGAAGACCCCAAACCUUCCCAGGCCUUUCCCUGGGCUUCUGCCUGGCCAGCCCCCACUCACCCUGAACUUGCACACUGAUCUUUUCACUUGUGAGGCUUAAAUCCAGACAGCCCCAUCCUACUCUGCGCUGCCAGGGUAUCAGUCAGGGAGACCCAGGGACUCCUGAGAGCAAGGAGCAAGCUGUGCCAGGCCCAGCAGGGAGACGGGAUCUGGGCAGGCAGGGAUGCAGCAGGCUGAGGCCACUCUGCACACCACGCAGAGGGGAGGGACUUUAGGAUCAGUGGGGUGGGGUCGGAGCACCCCCCACACUUCCUGAGUGGCUGCCCCCAGAGGCUUUUGUUUAGGUGUCUCCCUCCCCUCCAGCCCCGCCCAAGGAGGGCAGCUGCGGUGCCCCGUACUUGGAAUCAGGCACUCUGUACAUGGAUAGUGCAUGAGGCUUAAUAACUGCUGCCUGAUCUUCUGAGGACAGAUGGUUUUAGUGUCUCAAAAUCUCCUGGGUCGAAUGACUUUUCAAGCCUUACGAUAGGAACGCUAACCUUCUAACCUUGAUGGAGGGGCAAAUGCAGGGUUUGACUGAGUGACAACACAGGCAGUUUAGUAAGAUGCCGUGCCUGGUACUCGUCCUAUGCAGAGGAAUCAGCGGCUCCCACGGAAGGAACUUGCUCUGUGAGCAGUGUGGAAAUAUCAUGGGAAGCCAACUGAAGUGGGGAGGUGAUACGCGAUGAGGGUGGAGGGUUCCUGGGCUGGAGUGCACCAGAACCCUUGUUUGUUGAUCCUGUUAGUAGUUCUUAUGGUGAUCUUCGGAUGGAUGCACUCAGACAGCAGAGACGCACGAAGGCUUGGCUCCUUCUUGAUGAAGUGAAGUGUUGUGGGUGUGUUUCUUUCACUGUGUUGAACAAUGGAACACAGUGAACCCUGGGACCUGCUGACAAUGACGGGUUACUUCUCUGCACGAGGCAGAGAAGGCAUACCUUGGACUCAGGACUGCAGGCACUGCAGGAUGGGGAGGGAGAGGGAAGGAGAGGGAUGCCUGUAACAGAAACGGCAGCUGCUCACUGGAACACAGUGCUUAAAGCUCAUCCUAACAUGGCCUUCUGUUCCAAGAAGGGCGGAUACCCUGGAAGUCAGUGUCCCCUGCUAUGGCCUGGAUGUUUGUGUCCCUAAAAAAUCCAUAUGUUGAGUCCUAACCCCAGUGUGAUGGUAUCAGGAGGUGGGGCCUUUGGGAAGUGAUUAAGGCAUUAGGGUGGAGGCUUCAUGAAUGGGAUUAGUGCCCUUAUGAAAGAGGCCACAGAGAGACCCCUCGCUCCUUCUGCCAUUACAGCUAGAAGGUGCUUUCUAUCAACCAGAAAGUGGGCCCUCACCACACACCAUCUGCUGGUGUCUGGAUCUUGGACUCCCCAGCCUCCAGAGCUGUGAGAAACACAUUUUUGUUGUUUCUAAGCCACCCAGUCUAUGGCAGUUUGUUGUAGCAACCAAAAUGGACUAAGGCAGGACUUAGUCAAGGCAGGAUGCAAGCUAGAAUCACAUGGGAGUGUUAUUGCAAUGCAGAUUCCCAGGUCCUCUCAGAACUCCUGAACUGAAGCCUCUGGGCAAGGGGAUGGGACAUUACAGCUUUUAGAAGGUUCCCAGGUGACUCUGGGGCCACCAGCCCAGCACAGCCCACAGACGGACGCUUGAGGUCUCUAGCCAGGAUGGACGAAUGCCCCAGCAGGCUGAACUUGGACAAAUAUGACAUUAGUGGUGUUUGACGGUGUCACCUCCACUCCCUCAGCUAGUGACCUUGCUGACUAAAAGUAAAGCUAAUGUUAACUGAGCACUUACUAUGUGCAAGGUCUCUGCAACCCCCUGAGUUAGGAACUAUUAUCAUUCCCAAAAUGCAGAUGAUGGUAUUGAGGUACAGAGACGUUUGAUUAACCGGUCCAAGGUGCCAGGGUUGGAGGGUGGCAAAGCACGUUCAAAGCUGACCUGGCGAUCCAGACCCAGCUCCUGCCCCCACUCUGGAUUGCCUCUGUAAGUCGGGGUGCCGUGGGGCCUGGGAGGGGUGGGAGCUGCAUGGUUUUCUGUGCUCUGCUGUGCCCAGCUGAGCGUCUCUGGACCAUUGCUUCCCUCUCCAGGCCCUGGCUCUUUAUGCCAAGCUGCAGGGCCAGUGAGGGCUGGGGCACACUCCCAGUGGCUGCCCCUCAGGCUGGAGCCACCCGUUUCCUUUACACCUGGCUUUGUGGAGCCCAGGGAACUAGGCUGAUGUCCAGGUAAAGAAUUGGGGGCUGGCCGGGCGCGGUGGCUCAAGCCUGUAAUCCCAGCACUUUGGGAGGCCGAGACGGGCGGAUCACGAGGUCAGGGGAUCGAGACCAUCCUGGCUAACACGGUGAAACCCCGUCUCUACUAAAAAAAAAUACAAAAAACUAGCCGGGCGAGGUGGCGGCGCCUAUAGUCCCAGCUACUCGGGAGGCUGAGGCAGGAGAAUGGCGUGAACCCGGGAGGCGGAGCUUGCAGUGAGCCGAGAUCCGGCCACUGCACUCCAGCCUGGGCCACAGAGUGAGACUCCGUCUCAAAAAAAAAAAAAAAAAAAAAAAAGAAUUGGGGGCUGCCUUGGUUUCCCUUUAUAGUGUGGGCUCCCACUUCUGAAGAGUAGAAACACCCUUUCUGCUUUUUCAUUUCUUAAAACAAGUUUUUAAUUGUUUUAUCUGAUACUGUGCUCAUUGUAAUACGUUAGAAAAAUCAAAAGUGUAACUGCAGAAAACUCACCCACGAUUCUUCCAUUCACCGUUAAUACUACCAAGAUUUUCUUUCCAGUAUUUUAAAACUUGCUUUCUUGCUUUUCUUAACUGAGCCAUACUUUAAAUACAAUUUUGCAUUCUGAUUUUAGUUCAGUGUUAUAUUGGAAACACUUCUGCGCACCUUUAAAACAGCUUUUUGUAAACAUUUUUCAUCAUUUCAUAAUAUUCCAUCAAUAUGCAAAUUUAUUAUUUCACCAUUUCCCACAUCUGGAUUGUUUCAGUUUCAUGCUAUGACAAGAAUGCUUGACGAAUAUUUUAGUGUGUACGCCUUUACCCACGCCUCUGUGGGAUUUUGCAGAAGCAAUAUCAGUGGGUUAUAACAAAGGCUCUUGAUACAAAUUGCCAAAUUGCUUCCCUGAAAACUUGUGCUAACUCAUCUUCCUGCCCUUGUGAGUUAAUAUUUGACCUUAAAGGGACGCUAGAAGUCCUCAGUUAUGAAAUGACCCUCCAAAUUAAAUUGGGGCAGACAGAACGUGGAGUCAGCCCAUCUCUCCGUGAAGGCGGCCCCUGGGGGACCUUCAGCCUCUAUUAAGGGAGCACGUGGUCUGUUGGAAUAGGAAGAAUAAAACUCCUCUUCAGGCAGAUUAGGCAGGUCAUAUUUGGCUGUUAAGCCUGUUAUUUGUAAUAGAUCUCAUUUUAAAAGAUCCAUUGCCAACAUAAUGUCAGAUAAUUUUCCAUUGAAUUGCCUUUUAGAUUUUAUUUUAUUUUAUUUUAUUUAUUUAUUUUUUUUUUUUUUGACUUUCUCUGUCACCAGCUGGAUGCAGUGCGGAUCUCAGUCACUGCAGCUCC